rnacentral:rRNA from 1 species
AUUGAACGCUGGCGGCAGGCCUAACACAUGCAAGUCGAGCGGAUGGAGGGAGCUUGCUCCUGGAUUCAGCGGCGGACGGGUGAGUAAUGCCUAGGAAUCUGCCUGGUAGUGGGGGAUAACGUCCGGAAACGGGCGCUAAUACCGCAUACGUCCUGAGGGAGAAAGUGGGGGAUCUUCGGACCUCACGCUAUCAGAUGAGCCUAGGUCGGAUUAGCUAGUUGGUGGGGUAAAGGCCUACCAAGGCGACGAUCCGUAACUGGUCUGAGAGGAUGAUCAGUCACACUGGAACUGAGACACGGUCCAGACUCCUACGGGAGGCAGCAGUGGGGAAUAUUGGACAAUGGGCGAAAGCCUGAUCCAGCCAUGCCGCGUGUGUGAAGAAGGUCUUCGGAUUGUAAAGCACUUUAAGUUGGGAGGAAGGGAAGUAAGUUAAUACCUUGCUGUUUUGACGUUACCAACAGAAUAAGCACCGGCUAACUUCGUG